rnacentral:lncRNA from 12 species
UAGGGAGGUCAGAAUCAGCACCCCCCCCGCCCCCCCCGCGCCAGGCUCUGCCCCUCCCGAGGAAUGAUCCGGAACAGUAGUCACACCUUCUUUCUGAAUCUCCUCUUUUUUUUUUUUCCUACAGCAAAAUGAGCAAAUCCAGUGGCUUCCUGAGAUUUCCACCAGCUCCACAGUCGGUGAUUAGCAAUUGCCAGGGAGAAUCAAUCAAAUAUCCCAGACUGAAUCCCUUUAUCAUCCUGUUAACUACAGAAGAAGCAAAGAGCUCCUUUUAUCCAAGCCACCUCCAAUGUUGCCGGGUCUGCUCUAUGGCCUGAGGCAGGACAUCUGCAGUUCAUAGACCAUUUGCAAAAUGAACCAACCAACACUCCCUGAGUGCAAUGACUGCUACAGGCUUUGGGACUCUGGUAACUAGCCCCACACAUGACCUUUCUUUCCUUAGGAUGAUUCAAGACAAUCUCCAUUCCCUCCCUGCCCCACCCCCCACCCCAUUCAUGGUUAUGGGGUUUUAGAAUUAUACUUUAUAACAUCAGUUUGUGUUAACAUUAAUAUAAGUACACAUUGCCAAACAUGGAGCCACAGAUGCCCCUACAAAAUAAUCAAUAGAUAACCCAGUUAAUUCUAAUCAGGACAAUGGAAAGAGGGAAAGUAAACCUUUAUUUAUUGGGAGAUGAUGAUGACUCAGGCACUCUGCUAAGCACUUUCACAUAUAUAAGAUCAUUUAAGUUUAACUGCAGCUUUGAAGAGAUAGUAUUAUUAUCACCAUUUUGAAUAAAUGAAAAAUGGGAGGCUUUGAGAGAUAAGUA